GACGAACGCUGGCGGCGUGCUUAACACAUGCAAGUCGAACGGACAGACCCUGCUUUUGUUGCGUGCUCGAGAGGCGAACGGGUGAGUAACACAUGAGUAUACUGCCCUUGACUGUGGGAUAACUUCAGGAAACUGGGGCUAAUACCGGGUAGAAUCUCCUGCUGCGUAGGGGGGGAUAGAGAGUGUCGGCGGUUGGGGAUGGAUUCGCUGGUUAUCAGCUUGCUGGUGUGGUAGUGGAUUACCAAGGCUAUGACGGGUAGCCGGCAUGAGAGCGGGAACGGCCACAUGGCGACUGAGAGACGGACCAGAAGCCUAUGGGAGGCAGCAGGGGGGAACAUGGCAGAACGGGGGGAAGCCUGAUGCAGCAGCGCUGGGUGCGGGAUGACGGCUUAUGGGUUGUAAACCGAUGUCGCAUGUGACGAAGCGUGAGUGACGGUAAUGGGUAAAGAAGCAACGGCUAACUACGUG
rnacentral:rRNA from 1 species